CAUCCAUAAAGGUGAAUUACUUUGAGGAAAUUGCCUGUGUUUGAGGUCUGCUCCUGGGGGCUGGGGCACGGUGGUGGUGAUGGCACCGGGGGGAAAGGGGUGGUUUGCCCACAUACCAUGAAUAGAAGUCACUGUCAGGGAAAAGAUCCCUCCACAAGGCUUUUGCCUUGGCUGAGCAAGAGGGACCCAGCAUUUUGCACGCUCUAUUUUCUUCCCAGCCCAGAGCAGGACUUGGGGCACAGAUGUCAAUCUGAGCUGCUUUUUGCCUUCCUUGCGAAUAUCUAUCCGCUGCAUUUUCCUUCUGCCAGGCAGCUGACGGGAGAGAGGUCCUGGUGCAGGGCACAGGCCAGAGGCACAGAGCUCUCUCUGCAUUCCUGCAAGUGCAGCAGCCGUGCAGGGCCCCCGGGGGAACUCGCACCCACCUCUGCCCCCACCCACCGCCCGCAGGCUGCUCACCAUCAUAUGGAAGAGAAGAUUUUUCUCCCCGUUUUCUGGCCACUGCUGCAGGGUUUUCGCAGCUGUGUUUUCUUCCGAUCUCUUGUUGGCAGGAUUAAAAUCUGCAUUUGUGCUGCCAAAAUGCAAAUGCUGCUGUGAGCCAGCUGAGAGCACACUGAUGGUUCCAGCCCUUUAACUAAUCCAGAUGUGUGACUGACCGGUGUUGCUCACUUUGUGUGCUGGGCUCACACCUGCAGAUCAGAUCUGCAGGAUGUACCUGGAGCUUGUGUCAACACCAACCUACACAUAUUUAGCAGGGGCUGCUGAAGCACAGAAGGAAGCAGUUUCACAAUUGCCACCACGUGGUGUUUCUGAAAAGUUGAACACUACACACUGUAUUUCCUUCAGGGAAUUUAAGAGCUCUGAUCCUUACAGCUCCACAAAGCACUGGGAGGUGGGGAAGGGAAAGCACAGAGUGCAGUAAAGCCACCCAUCACUGCUUCUCUAAGGUGUUACAUCCAGUUUGACCUGCAGCUCUUCUUUCCCAGCUCUGGGUCUGACCUUGCUCUGCAGACAUGAGGAAGCACAAUGCUCCAAGGCCAAAAAAUCAGCACAGAGGGAAAUGAUCAUGGCUUCCUGCUUCCAAGGAAGCUCAAGACUCCCACCUUUGUAGGGGUGAUCCUCCGUUCAGGGCUCAAAGCUGGUUAGAUUUGGCCCCUCCUGCUCUCACUUGUUGCAAUUGCCAAGAUCUGUCUCCUCUUUGUGCCCAGCACGGGAAGAUGAGGACACGCACUCUGGGGGCUCGAGUCACCCCCGUGGCCAGCACGGUGCAGGUGACAGGCUGGAGUGGGUGGCAGAGGGUGGCAAACCACACACAAGGACUUGGCAAGCCACGAGAGCACAGUCACUUCAGCUGGAAGUUGCACCACUCCCUUCCAGUGGAAGGAUAUCUGCCAUGAGCAUUCACCAGAGCCCUGGAUCUCUACUCCUGUGCAUUCACACCCGCUCCAGCUUGUGCAGUCGAGGGAGUGUUACCACAGAGGAAGGUGAAUCUUUGCAAGCACCCCCGUAUGCCUGAGCUUCACCUCCCUUUAGGGAAGGUGUGAUCCCAAAGAUGACAAGGAUAACAGACAUCUCAAAACUGCCUGGGUUAGAUCAGGCUCUGUUUGCCCAACUGCAAACUGCCAUAUACAUAAUCUACAUUUACAUAUACGUAUAAAAGCUUAAUAUAUAUAUGUAAACUAUAUUUACAUACAAAAUAUGUUAAAGCCUUUGGUAGGGUUGAGUGAUCCCUACAGGCUGAGCUAUUUGAAUUUCUCAGGGAAAGACUUAGGCUGCACUAGGGAUGUUAAGCUUAUGAUAUUCAUAUGAAAAAAAAAUCAUAUUUUUCAAUAGUUGAAAUUCUUAAGGCCUUAAUCAGGUUAGAGGGAUUUAGAAGUUAGAUCAAUAUCUCAUCACACGGAAUAUAGAACUGGCUUUUUUCUAAUUGCCUACAAUAAUGAUUUUAAAAGGAAAGAAAAUCCUACCAUUUUAGCAGACUUCUCCAAGUCCACACAAGACACACUCUGGCAGUCGUGUGCCACCCUUCUAGUUUCCAAGAGCUCUGUGGCACUCCAAGGCAUUACUGCAGAAAACAGACGUAUUUUUAUGGUAAUCGUUUUAACACCUUUGGCAUUGUUUUGUAACUACCUUGGAUCCCAAUGUGCUUCUCAAAGCCGCAGAGAGAGGUGAGGGCUGACGAGUCUAAAUUUAAGGAGCAGGAAACCUGACUCGCUGCUGGCACUGCCGCUGGCUCUCUGCAGGAGUGGGUAAAUCACCCGGGGUGUCUGUGCAGCACCUCAGCCUCGCCCAGGAGCCCUUCUCCCUGCAGCCUUUAGCCCCAGGAGACAUUUCCAGGGAGCAAAGCUGGUGCUAUCCCUGAAUGUCUCCAUCACCUGCUGCAGUGUGUCCUCACCCACCUUCCAUCCCCACACAAGGGAGUGUGAUGUUUUGGUCAUCCUGUGGGCGGCCAGGCUGACAAAAGAUCAGUGUGACAACGUUGAGUGGGCAGGCCAAAACUAAACUUUGUGCUUUGCUUCAG
rnacentral:lncRNA from 1 species